GACGUAGGGAGCGAGCGUUUGUCCGGAUUCAUUGGGCGUAAAGAGCGCGCAGGCGGUUUGGUAAGUCGGAUGUGAAAACCCGGGGCUCAACCCCGGGCGUGCAUCUCGAUACUGCCCGACUAGAGGUAGGUAGGGGAGAUCGGAAUUCCUGGUGUAGCGGUGAAAUGCGCAGAUAUCAGGAGGAACACCGGUGGCGAAGGCGGAUCUCUGGGCCGUAACUGACGCUGAGGAGCGAAAGCAUGGGGAGCGAACAGG
rnacentral:rRNA from 1 species